GUCUUUAUGGGAAAAUGUAAAGUCUGGCCUGCCCACUGAGAAUUUAAAGGGCCGCGGUAUCUUGACCGUGCGAAGGUAGCAUAAUCAAUAGUCUUUUAAUUGAAGGCUUGAAUGAAUGGUCGGACAGGAAAAUAGCUGUCUUAUAGGUAUAUUACGAAUUUAACUUUUAUGUGAAAAGGCAUAGAUAAUUUAAAGGGACGAUAAGACCCUAUAAAACUUUAUAAUUUUUUUAUUAAGUUUUUGAACUUUUAAAAAAGAGUUAAUAAGUGUUAUUAAGUUGGGGUGACUAGAAUAUAAGUUAAGUAACUGUUUGGAGAAUUAAAUAAUUAUAAUUAGAUGUUGAUCCUGAGUUUUGGAAUAGAAGUUUAAGUUACUUUAGGGAUAACAGCGUAAUAUCUUUUGAGAGUUCAUAUCGACAAAGGUGUUUGCGACCUCGAUGUUGAAUUAAGAUUUCCUCUAGGAGUAGAAAUUUAGGGGGUAGGUCUGUUCGACCUUUAAAAUCUUACAUGAUUUGAGUUCAAACCGGUGUGAG
rnacentral:rRNA from 1 species